GGUCAGAUCCACCACGGCAACAACCGGCGUCCUCUCCCUCUCUAUCCAUCUUUCUCCCAUGACUGAGAAGAGGGCUUCGUCAAGGAUCCCAUUAUGGAUGUCAACGUGGGAGGCUGCUUCCUCCCCUUCCAGAUCGACCAUCCAUCGAUGGAGGCUAUGAGAGCUGAGUGAGCACACACAUGGUUGCGCUUCAAGCUGCAGCUCAAUAGAUGCAGGGACGCCGCAAUGGAGCAAGUAAGGCCUCCCUUCUCCCACUGUUUCUUCAGAUCCGCCACGGCCAGCCAUAUCCGGCGCCCCUGCACCACCGUGGUGAGGUGGAAGAAAUCUCUUGAGGCCAAACCGCAGGGAGGACGGCGGCCAACAAUCGGUACAUGUUCUCAAGGUCCCAUGGAACUGGGUACAGGUGCGGCUGUGUGCUCGUGAUCCCCAUCCAAUGCUGCGCAUCCAAGGUACAGUAGCGGCACGAAAGCUGCCACUUUCUCCCUAUCCAUAAAUGUUUGAUCUGGCUGGUGGUUACAUGAUUUGUUUCUAUGUAAUCAUCUCAACUCAAUAGGGAACUCGCUAUAUUAGGA